rnacentral:rRNA from 1 species
CUACGUGCCAGCAGCCGCGGUAAUACGUAGGGGGCAAGCGUUAUCCGGAUUUACUGGGUGUAAAGGGAGCGUAGACGGCGAAGCAAGUCUGAAGUGAAAACCCAGGGCUCAACCCUGGGACUGCUUUGGAAACUGUUUUGCUAGAGUGUCGGAGAGGUAAGUGGAAUUCCUAGUGUAGCGGUGAAAUGCGUAGAUAUUAGGAGGAACACCAGUGGCGAAGGCGGCUUACUGGACGAUAACUGACGUUGAGGCUCGAAAGCGUGGGGAGCAAACAGGAUUAGAUACCCUGGUAGUCCACGCCGUAAACGAAGAGUGCUAGGUGUUGGGGGGCAAAGCCCUUCG